CACGUAGGGGGCGAGCGUUGUCCGGAUUUAUUGGGCGUAAAGAGCUCGUAGGCGGUUCGAUAAGUCUGCCGUGAAAUCCUGGGGCUCAACCCCGAGCGUGCGGUGGAUACUGCCGGGCUAGAGGGUGGUAGAGGCGAGUGGAAUUCCCGGUGUAGCGGUGAAAUGCGCAGAUAUCAGGAGGAACACCGAUGGCGAAGGCAGGUCUCUGGGCAUUAACUGACGCUGAGGAGCGAAAGCAUGGGGAGCGAACAGG
rnacentral:rRNA from 1 species